rnacentral:rRNA from 1 species
UCGGGAAUUUUGGGCAAUGGGCGAAAGCCUGAUCCAGCCAUGCCGCGUGAGUGACGAAGGCCUUAGGGUUGUAAAACUCUUUCGUCGGGGACGAUAAUGAUGGUACCCGAAGAAGAAGCUCCGGCUAACUUCGUGCCAGCAGCCGCGGUAAUACGUAGGGACCAAGCGUUGUUCGGAUUUACUGGGCGUAAAGGGCGCGUAGGCGGCAAUUCAAGUCAUCUGUGAAAUCUCCGGGCUUAACUCGGAACGGUCAGAUGAUACUGCUUUGCUAGAGUGCAGAAGGGGCAAUCGGAAUUCUUGGUGUAGCGGUGAAAUGCGUAGAUAUCAAGAGGAACACCUGAGGUGAAGACGGGUUGCUGGGCUGACACUGACGCUGAGGCGCGAAAGCCAGGGGAGCAAACGGGAUUAGAUACCCAAGUAGUCCCUGAGCGGGCUGGCAAGGCGCAU